rnacentral:rRNA from 1 species
UGGCUAACUCCUACGGGAGGCAGCAGUGGGGAAUUUUGGACAAUGGGGGCAACCCUGAUCCAGCAAUGCCGCGUGAGUGAAGAAGGCUUUCGGGUUGUAAAGCUCUUUUGUCAGGGAAGAAACGGUAGUAGCUAAUAUCUAUUACUAAUGACGGUACCUGAAGAAUAAGAACCGGCUAAGUACGUGCCAGCAGCCGCGGUAAUACGUAGGGUGCAAGCGUUAAUCGGAGUUACUGGGCGUAAAGCGUGCGCAGGCGGUUGUGUAAGUCAGAUGUGAAAUCCCCGGGCUCAACCUGGGAAUUGCAUUUGAGACUGCGCGGCUAGAGUGUGUCAGAGGGGGGUAGAAUUCCACGUGUAGCAGUGAAAUGCGUAGAUAUGUGGGGGAAUACCGAUGGCGAGGGCAGCCCCCUGGGAUAACACUGACGCUCAUGCACGAAAGCGUGGGGAGCGAACAGGAUUAGAAACCCGUGUAGUCCAGCUGG